AAGUUGGUUUGCCGAAGGGCAAUCAAAAGGGAAUCGAGUGAGAAUCUCGAGCAGACCCGCUGCUGUAAGUUUUCUUUACGAGUAUGUUGAAAUUCAACAAUACUCCGUCUCAUCUUCCGAAGCACUGUCUGCAUUCGCAGACAGCUACCGAACGUCACUGGCCAAGCAAGAGUGCGGAGGCCGGGAAGGCGAAGAUGACGGAAAACAAGCCAGAAGACCUGCCAACGUAAU
rnacentral:ncRNA from 1 species